AUCUCUAUUUUUAUACAAAUUAAACCAAUAUACAUAUAUAUAUAUAUAUCAAUAUAUAUACUUAUUUUUAGAUUUACACUAAAAUAUAUAUGUAUCUAAUUACUAAAAUAAAUAAGCUAGUGUAUAUAUAUUUAAACUUUAUGUGUAUGUAUCUAUGUGAAUAAGAAUUAUUUUUCUUGUGUUUUUUAUUACAAAAUAAAUAAAAUGCACCAACUUAAUAUAUUACUAAAAAAAGAUUAAGAAAUUAGAAGUUUGUGUCUUUUUUUAAUUAAUAUAUAUUACAUAUUAUAAUUUUUUUUAAAAUAUACAUAAUUAAGUGCGGAUUGGAUUGGAUCGGUUACUUUUUGAGGUCAAACAACAUCCAAUCCGCACAAGUGCGGAUUUUAGAUUUUUCAAUCCAAUCCAAUCCGCACAAGUGCGGAUAUCCGCAUUUUGCGGAUUGGAUCGUGCAGAUUGGAUUGGAUCAGAUACUUUGUGAACACCCCUACUAGUAAGUACCCUACCUAGUAAUUACACAGUUGCUUCCAAACACACCCGUAGUAACUUUUGUAAAACAUAAAAUUUAAAAGAGUAAUUUGCGGCAUAAAUACCUAAGUUUUAUGCCGAGUAGCAGAUAAAUACUUAAGUCGUAUUUUGGCGGUAAAAAUACCUUCCGUCACUAGUGUGACACUUCCGUAGGUACCUGGCCGUUAUGUGCCAUGUUAGUGUCCACGUGUCACUAUGUGAUUAGUCCAAAUCAUUUAAUUUUUAAGUUUUAUUUGUAAAUCAAUUUAAAAAUUAAAAAUAAAAUAAAAAUAGUUUAAAAUCAAAAUAAAGUAAUAAAUAUUUAAUAUAUAUAUAUAUUUUAAUUAAAUUAAAAUAAAUAAAUCAUUAAUUAAAACCCAAAACCUAAAACUAACAAAUAAACACAAAAGAAAAUUGAAUCAUCCCCUUUCAUAGUCCUCUUCUUCAUCCUGCCCUUCUUCUUCUAUGUGAAGAGUUGUUUAAUGAUAUUAUAUUUGUUUGGGUAAAGGGGGUACGUUCUCCCUUGAUCAUGGGGUUCAUCGUCUUCUUUGCAUAGAGAAAAUUGAAAGGAACUUUUGUAGAGGAAAAAGAUGUUAGCCUCUAAAACUGAGGAGAGUGUUCGAGUUGGGGGCAGUUCCAUUUUGCAGCCUCAAUACACGCGUGAAAGUUCGGCUAUGGUUCUCCCUGCUCAGAGUCGGACGGAGCAACUCCGGCCGUCUAUGGCUCCAACGGACUUCACCAUUUUGAAAACUAUUAGAUCUGUAUCUCCCACGCUCUUUUCUCUCUCCCUGCGGUAUCUUUCUCUCUGUUUUACUCUAUGCGAAGUGUGAGGGAGAUAUGGGUGAGUUCGACAGAAUACUUGGCUUGGCGGAGAUCUGGUCAUCGACGGGACCAUUAUGGUUUGAUUUUUUUUACUGGAUGUAUUACAGGUUUCUUUGUUCAUCAUUAAGGAUUUUUUAGGAAUGUUUGUAUUAUUUUUUUUGGGUUUUUUUUUUUAUUAUUAUUCAAGUUUUUUUGGGUUUUCUUGGUGGUCCGAUUUUUGUUGUCAAUUUGAUUUUGCUAGAUAGAUGUUGGUGAGUGAUGAGGUUUUCGA